rnacentral:rRNA from 1 species
UACGGAGGGUGCAAACGUUGCUCGGAAUCAUUGGGCGUAAGGCGCACGUAGGCGGUCCGGUAAGUCGGAUGUGAAAUCCCUCGGCUCAACCGAGGAAGUGCAUUCGAAACUGCCAGACUUGAAUAUGGAAGAGGGUCGCGGAAUUCCCGGUGUAGAGGUGAAAUUCGUAGAUAUCGGGAGGAACACCUGCGGCGAAGGCGGGUUGCUGGGCUGACACUGACGCUGAGGCGCGAAAGCUAGGGGAGCGAACGGG